rnacentral:rRNA from 1 species
UACAGAGGGGGCAAGCGUUAUUCGGAAUUAUUGGGCGUAAAGGGCGCGUAGGCGGCCGUGCAAGUGGAAGGUGAAAUCCCUCGGCUCAACCGAGGAACUGCCUUUCAAACUGCUUGGCUUGAGUCCGGGAGAGGUGAGUGGAAUUCCCAGUGUAGCGGUGAAAUGCGUAGAUAUUGGGAGGAACACCAGUGGCGAAGGCGGUCUGCUGGCGAGUACCUGACGCUGAUGCGCGACAGCGUGGGGAGCAAACAGG